rnacentral:rRNA from 1 species
UACGUAGGGUGCAAGCGUUGUCCGGAAUUAUUGGGCGUAAAGAGCUCGUAGGCGGCCUGUCGCGUCGGCUGUGAAAACCCAGGGCUCAACCCUGGGCCUGCAGUCGAUACGGGCAGGCUAGAGUCCGGCAGGGGAGACUGGAAUUCCUGGUGUAGCGGUGAAAUGCGUAGAUAUUGGGAGGAACACCAGUGGCGAAGGCGGCUACCUGGACCGGUUCUGACGCUGAGGCGCGAAAGCGUGGGUAGCAAACAGG